rnacentral:rRNA from 1 species
AUUGAACGCUGGCGGCAGGCCUAACACAUGCAAGUCGAACGAGUGGCGGACGGGUGAGUAAUGUCUGGGAAACUGCCUGAUGGAGGGGGAUAACUACUGGAAACGGUAGAUAAUACCGCAUACCAUCGGAUGUGCCCAGGUGGGAUUAGUUAUUUGGUGGGGGAACGGCUCACCUAGGCGACGAUCCCUAGCUGGUCUGAGAGGAUGACCAGCCACACGGGAACUGAGACACGGUCCAGACUCCUACGGUAGGCAGCAUUGGGGAAUAUUGCACAAUGGGCGCAAGCCUGAUGCAGCCAUGCCGCGUGUGUGAAGAAGGCCUUCGGGUUGUAAAGCACUUUCAGCGGGGAGGCGUUACCCGCAGAAGAAGCACCGGCUAACUCCGUGCCAGCAGCCGCGGUAAUUC